CCUGUGGUGGGGUCAACCAACAGGUCCCCAGCAUAACCAGGGUAUGCUCCCUUUCCAUACACACCGGGACAAGCUGAUGCAGCCUCUAAUGGCGCGUCCUUUGGUCCUUGAAAGUAGCCAUUUCCAAAUGGGUUUGUAGUCGUACCAGCCAAGAGACUAGCCAGGUUGAUGACCAUGCCGUCCAGACCCACAUCGUUGUUGGGAGCAACAAGGGGAGGGCUCUGGGGUCCAUAUAUGGGCUGGUGAAAUGGCCAAGCGCAUUGACCUGGGCAUUGAGUUUCCGAGUUUCCAACCCAAAUGUAAGCAAAUUUGUAGCUUUUGCCUUGAACAGAUGCAGCUUUUGAAGAUCCAUGGGUUCCACAUUUGCUCAUACAAAAG